GUUAUCAAUGCACACCGCUGUGAAACUCACUUGAUCAGCCCCAGGCAGCAGGAGAUAUCUCCCAGCCCCAGGGCAGGCAGAGUCUCCAACACAUCCAGAGUUAAAAUCAGCAGCCUCGAUCCACACCCUGAGACUUCCAGCCACCAGCAUCUUAUAAACACACCUCUUGGACUUGCACUGAUGGAUUGCUGGGGGCGUGGGUGCCUCCCACCAGUGGAGACAACAAAGGGUUUUAUUCAUAGGUGUCUGUAAAAGAAAAACAACACACUGAACAUGCAUGUGGUGAGAGCAUCCCCAUCUGCACCAUGCUGCAGAACAAGGUGUUCAGCAAUAGAGAAAAGGGCAGUGUAGAGAUUCCAGCAUCACGAUCAACACAACAGAGACAGAGUCAAUUAUUAAACCCUGGGCAGCCUGCAGGGCUUUCAGCACUGGACAGAGUAGUUGUUAUUCAUGCAAAAGUUCAAGAGAAGAAACAAGGGAUCAUCAAAAACUCAUUUUACCCUUUCUGAUGAUGAUGGGAGGCUUCAAAACAUGCUAGAAGAGCCAAAAGAGCGUUUUGGCCGCUGACUUUUAUUUCACAACAGAUGAAAAAUUUUACUUUAGCCCAGUGGAUUGAGUAACAGACUGUAAGGAGAAAGGGAAGAGAACAAAUGCAAACACACUUUGACUAAAUAGGUACAUACAUGCCCAGUAGAAGCAAGUAUUUCAGGCCAAACCCACUUCCUAUUUUCUUUAAUACUGAGUUUUAGAGAUAAAACACAAUGGCUCAUGAUUUUUAUUGGAGUAGAAGAAGGCAAAUGAUUUUCUUCAUGUCCUCAAAGCCCCUUUGUCUUAAAAGUCUUGAUAAAAAUUAGUCUUUUGAACCCAGGUAAGUUUCCAAGGACUUUAAUCAAGGACUAGCAGCAGAUCAAGAUCAAAACCAGGAAAUACAAUUUUCAUCAAAAGGAAGAGUCUUUCUGCAGACUGAACUGGGCUGAUGGAAGAGGCUGUUCUCUCAGAAG